UAAUCUAUUUAGAGCAGAUCCUCAUUUAGUUUUGUUAGACUCACACAUGACUGCUCAAAAUCACUUGCUACUGUGUGAACAAUAAUUUUUUAAAAUUUUAAUUGGAGU
rfam:Populus trichocarpa scaffold_12_contig_41, whole genome shotgun sequence.